rnacentral:lncRNA from 1 species
GGAUGAAACACCUUUUGAAAAGCAGAGUUGAAAAAGAUUAUUAUUUUCUUGUCUUUACCUCCAAAGUAAUGGUCUCUUCCAUCCAUUUGGACUUAAAUACAUCUGCAACCUCUUAUUAUGGAAAUUCAGGAAAAAGGAACAUAUGAGAUAGUAAAAAAACUUGACAAGGUUAAGAAAGCAGAAGGCAAAAAAUAACUAUGGAAAAAAAAUGCAAACUGAUAUAAAGAUUUCAUGCCAACUUAAGUAUUUGGAUGACUCAGUAUUAGUUGAACAUCAAACUGCAAUUUGCUCGUCACUCAUAGUCUUAGUUCCCUAUAUUACUACUACAAAACAACAGACAAUCAUGCAGCAACAAACAUGCACAACCUAUUUACAAUGCAUACCACCAAUCUAGCUGUAUAGUGUUUUUUUCCCCACUUAGUGCCACUGAUUUCUAAAACAUCCACUUAUUACUUGAACUGGAUGCUUAAACUGCUGCAUUUUCACGUAUGUCUGACCAGAGGUAUAUUUAGCUAUCAUCAAAGGUGGCCAUUACUCAGGCUGUCAGGCUAGUAAAGUCAACAAAAUGUGGAGGAAAACAGAUCUGAAGCAUCAUCCUCCCUAAGGAGAGCAUGGUGCUGACAGUAGUGAAACUAGCUGGCAGUUUAUGGGGCACAUCCUUGUGUAGUUGCUUUCCUCUAAUCCUUCCACAGCCCAUGGAGAAAGAUGCUGUGAGUAGGCAGUGAGUUACCCGAUGGUCACAAGGACAGAGUGAAGCACCUCUUAUGUCCUAUUUUAAUCAAUGUCCCUACAUGGCUCAAAGGCAUGGUGUACAAACAUCUGACAAUUGCAGAGGCUGGGAUACAGGCAAGCACAGCUGGCUUGUUGCUGGGGCAAUGAGUUCACUUAAAAGAGACCAUCAUGCCAACGGGUAGGGGAAAGAAAACAGAGAACAGCAGCUGUUCUGCUUCAGCAAAAUUUUACUAAUCAUUAGAUGAAGGCAAAAUAUAACAUUUUAUCUUUGUUCUCAAGGGGGCAAAAUUCAAUUUUUCCCACACUGCUGAGUAGCACUAAGAUGUGGCACACCUAAACUAAUGAACUCAAGAAAAGUUUUGCAAUUUUAGAACACACAUUAUCUAAACUUGGCUAAUAUCCUAUUCAGUGAUACUUUGUACCACUGCAUAAUUACAAAUCUAUAAAAUCUCCAUUAAAUCCACACCAGUAAACAUUUCUUUGAACUGAGUGAAAUAAAACAUUUUGAUGUAUGCUAUUCUCAGCAUUUAUCAUAGAUAUAGAAAUAUAUUCAGUAGACUAGAUUACAAAAAAGUCAUAAUUCCACAAGAACCAAAGUAACAGGGUGCUUAAUUGUCUCAGACCAAUAAAGUAAAAAUGAUGGCAGAAUCAAUUAAAAAUAUAUUAAAUAAAUGUAUUUGAGGUGACAGCACCCUACCUUCAUUUUAGUGUAUAUUUCCUUGGCUUUUAUAAGCUUGCUAGGUCCACAUCAGAAACUGUGGACUAUAAAGGGAUAAACUACAGCCACUGCCUUGUGGAUUCCAGUAUAGGCUAGCAGAAAAAAUAGCAACCCCUCUCCCCCAUAAAACAUACCAUAUCCUUUUGGAGGGGAUUAAAAUUUUUCUUCAGAAUUACUUUCUACUUUCUUCUACCCACAAAAAUUUUGAUGUAAAAAAAUUCUCUAAAUGAGAAGCACCAAAAUGGCUGUUUCCUAAAGCAAUGAAUAUUUAAAAUGUUCCUGGGAAGUAUUGAUAAAUGACAGGGAUCAUUCGUGAGUGUCACAUAUUGCUUAGUCUCUUCUGCUUUAGAGAUCUUGGAACCUGAUGUUUUAAUCAGGCCAUGUCUCAUAAGGCCAAAAAAAGGCCUUAUGAGACACAUAAUGAUCCACCCAGACCUGCUACUAGCUGUAAAUUAGGAAGAACAAAGAGGAGUGGAGGACUUAGGAAACCUGCCUGAGAUUUUUUGUGAUUGGGCACAGAAACCCUUUGGGUUUGUACUUUUCUUGAACAGAUGCAGACAGAUGUUUUAAUUUCCCACAGGACAUCAAGUCCACGGACCUAUCUUCUUUGUAUCACAGUCACAAGCCACAAAAUUUCAAAAUUCUGGCAUAUCUUUCUCUGAUAUAUUUCUCUCUCCAUUAAAAUUCUGAAGACAUACAAGAUGGAACAUGAGGAGUUUGUGCAAAGGGAAUACAUGGAAUCAAAAGGCUCCUCACAUACCUCUUCAUGUUAUCUACAACAGAUGGCAACUUACAGCUUCCAAACUUCCACUUAUAUUAAAAUUGAGUAAUUAUUUUUUUCCAAGCCAAAUAAUAUGAUAUUUCAAAAUCAGAGCAAGAAUCAGAUGUGAGAAUAUUAUGUGUAAAUGUGUAAACAUACAUAGUUGUUUACAGAAAUACACACACACUGAAUCAAUAAAGGACCUGUAACUUUUAUCCAGUAACAAUAUUAUCUGCAAAAUCAUUAACACUGAAUACUCGACCUUCACAGGAAAUAUUCACGAAUAACUUUAUUAUUUUAUUAUUAUUAUUUAUUAUUUUUAUUAAAUACAUGUAGGGAAAAUAAUCGAUUAAACAAAUGAUAUAUUUCAGAAGCAGGAAAAGAGGCCACAUUUGAGAGAGACACAAGUAUUCCUGAACUAUUCAUGCAGACAUCAUUACACUUUAAAACAGAAAAUAUAAACAUUGAAACAAAAACAAAACCAUGAAUGAGCCCCAAAAGGAAUCAAACUCCUCCAUCUUGUUUAAGACCUUAGAUUUAAGCUAAAGGGAGUCAACACAAGACUUUCCAGCUUUCUUGAGAAGAAGCAUGACUAUCUCCAAGCACAUGACAGUCUGUUCCCUCCCUUUUCCCCUUCUCUCACCAAAAAAAAAAAAAAAAAGAAAAAAAAUUCUACCCCAAAAGUCCAAAUACAUUCUAGUAAUAAAUCUUUUUAAAAGAUAAGAUUAUGUCUGAAAUCAGUGUAUGUUAUGCUGUAGUGGUUUUCAGCAACCUCUGUAAAAAGUUUUGGCUGCUGUAGUGGCAUGACAGCUACAGGCUGAGCUACCAGCUACAACUUCCCAGUUCAUGAAUGGAUACACUGGGAGUUGAUCUCAGAAGACGGAUGCCUGCAGGGUAAUGUGUGUCCAAAUAUUGCUGCACCACUGCUGACUAUUUUAUAGAGCAACAACAGUAUCACUUUCAGAACAAGAAAGCCAUUUUGCUUUUCCAGCUAAACAUUAAGGAAUGCAAUUGCAAGACAGAAAGGUGCAGACACUGUAUAUAGUAGAUGGCAAUCCAAACAUUAUGGUAGAUAAUGAAGAAUAUGAUCCCCUUGCCCUUUACUGUAUGCAUAUUAAACCACUCUAUUGCAGGAUAUCUCCAGCUUUUUACUGGUAGAAGGAAGGAACUCCUUUUUUUUUGAGUGUAAAAAUAUUUUUCCUUCUUUUUCUAAAAUGGGAUUUUUUAAUUAAAUUUUUUAAUUAAAAAAUAAAAUUUUUUAAUUAAAUUAAGAUACUUGAAAUUUACAAAAUUACCCUCAAAUAUCAAUAAGAAGUAGUAGCAUUAGUUUUGGAUUAAAACCUUCAUGAGAACAUAUAUAAUUCAUGCUAUAGCUGAAAAAGUGAUGCUGCUAUAAAAUAUAUAUAUUCUACAUAUAUAAUUCAGUUUUCCAAGUGUAAAUACUGCAACGAGAUGUUUUAUCACUGAUUGCUGCUCUAAUAAUGUACCAAAUGCCAGCUUGGAAAUUAAACAUUCACAAGAAUACAAUUAAAAUGAAACCCCGAUUCCCAAUUUAAAAAAAUAAUGAAAAUGUGUGAUAAAUAAAUGGAGUAUUCCUGCUGCCUUUGUCCAGUUCUUUUUUCCCAUAUGGUAUCUUAUUUGUCAUAUGGAAGCUGCAAAAAUACCUUUUUAGAGAAUAAAUUAGAAAAACGAAGCAUAAACAAUAAAGCCUGCUCAGCAGUCAUGUUCUCCAGUGCUCUGUAGGGUUGCUUCAGAAUUUUCCAUGCUGUGAGUGUUAAUGAGACCCUCCAUAGGCACCACUAAUACAUAAAAGCAAUCACCUAUAACUCACCUUUUCAAAUCUGUACUUUCUGUAACUGGAAGCAAAAUAGGAAGCAUCAUGCAAAUACCAUCCUCAUUUACUGACAUGUAACUAUUAGCCAAAAAGGGGUUGACAACAGAAAAGUUACCACAAUACAUAAAUGCUUCAAUGAUCAAGCACAGAAUCGAGAAGCACUUGGAGAACACGUGCAGUUUUGAAGACUACAAAACUGUCCCUAAACAUAUGGUUUUCCUGAUGGAAGGAAACAUACUUAGAGAAAUUA